GGGAAUGUAACUCAGUGGUAAAGUGCUUGCCUAGUGACGCAUGAGGUGCUGGGUUCAAUCCCCAGCAUGUCAA
rnacentral:tRNA from 1 species